rnacentral:lncRNA from 1 species
CCAACGACUCUCUAAAAGGAUCAAAGAUCUACAAUAUGAAUCGCGAGCCACAUUACCGCACAUUCUGUCAUGCUGUAAACACAAACGGCAACAGAACCAUAGCGAAGCGCGAAGUAGAGUUUGCGAAGCUUACAGAGAAGCGCAACAGAGCGACCCGCGCCAGCAGAGAUCAAAAACGUGUGCGAGCGACACAUAUACGCCAGCGGAGAUAUGCGUCAUUUCUUUUACAUAUCAGCUUAGCUGACAUCUCUUUUUUUUCCUUCUUCUUCCUUUCACUGCCGCCAUUGACAACCGGUGUAAGCGACACUGUUCAUCGUCUUCUUCGGACAGGACUCGCUGGGCCACGGUUCACCGGCGCUCACCCAUCUCCACCAAGACCUCCGACGCCGCGCCACGACCUCCGACAACCCGUCGGCGACUGUGGGUAGUCGUCGGAAUCAUCAUCGGCAGUCUCCGCCCAGAACCCUAUUUCCGGUUCCAGUUUUUCAAGCUUCAAGAAGGCAUCUUCAUCGGCCAUUACCUUCGCUCCGUCAUCCCCGAAGCUUUGUAGAUCCAUUUCGUGCGCGGGCGACAACAAAACGAGCCCAAGCUCUUCUCUCUCUCUCUCCCCUGCCCCCUUCUCUAUGGUCGACCUCCAUUAAUGGAGGUUGCCACCUGCGAUUGAGGCGCCCGAUCUCACGUUUGAGGUAAUCUCUCCUCAUACCCUGAACCAAACAGAACCAAGAUUCAGUUUCGCAGAUGCCCUUUGGGCUCUAACUCACAGAUCCACUGUCAAAAUCGAAUCAUUUCGGCCUCAAAACUCCUGAUUCCGACCAUUUUCAGUCCUCAGAACUCUCAGAACUUGAACUUACUUUUGGUAAGACUCACUAAAAAAGCAGGCGAGGAAUUGCAACAACAGGUCAUUACUUGGCAGUCACCCUAUUUGCUUCCAAGUUAUCCGUUGACUGACCCAUGGCAGGCUAUGGUCAUAAACCCAGGUCCAUGAUGGACGAAGGGGAAUUUUUUU